CCGUGCUAGAUGGGGAGCUAGCGGUGCCCUGUACCUGCAAUCCGCUUUAGCAGGGUCGAAUUCCUCGCCUAGGCCUUAAUUCGUAGGGUCUGGCCCACAUAAGUGGUGUUGAGAGUUGGGUCCCACGCAACGAAAACCUAUGAACCCCGUCAGAUCCGGAAGGAAGCAGCGGUAAGUAGAUAUUUUCGUGUGCCGUGGAUCAAUCUGGCUUGAGCUAACUGUGUGGGUAACGCUUAUGAGUUAUUGUCGAAGCGAGGUGCACGG
rnacentral:SRP_RNA from 1 species